rnacentral:rRNA from 1 species
UACGAAGGGGGCUAGCGUUGCUCGGAAUCACUGGGCGUAAAGCGCACGUAGGCGGAUUGCUAAGUCAGGGGUGAAAUCCUGGAGCUCAACUCCAGAACUGCCUUUGAUACUGGCAACCUUGAGUCCGGGAGAGGUGAGUGGAACUGCGAGUGUAGAGGUGAAAUUCGUGGAUAUUCGCAAGAACACCAGUGGCGAAGGCGGCUCACUGGCCCGGUACUGACGCUGAGGUGCGAAAGCGUGGGGAGCAAACAGG